rnacentral:rRNA from 1 species
CCUACGGGUGGCAGCAGUGAGGAAUAUUGGUCAAUGGGCGUAAGCCUGAACCAGCCAAGUCGCGUGAGGGAUGAAGGUUCUAUGGAUCGUAAACCUCUUGUAUAAGGGAAUAAAGUGUGGGACGUGUCCUGUUUUGUAUGUACCUUAUGAAUAAGGAUCGGCUAACUCCGUGCCAGCAGCCGCGGUAAUACGGAGGAGCCGAGCGUUAUCCGGAUUUAUUGGGUUUAAAGGGUGCGUAGGCGGCCUUUUAAGUCAGCGGUGAAAGUCUGUGGCGCAACCAUAGAAUUGCCGUUGAAACUGGGAGGCUUGAGUAUGUUUGAGGCAGGCGGAAUGAGUGGUGUAGCGGUGAAAUGCUUAGAUAUCACGCAGAACCCCGAUUGCGAAGGCAGCCUGCCAAGCCAUGACUGACGCUGAUGCACGAAAGCGUGGGGAUCAAACAGGAUUAGAUACCCGAGUAGUC